CCUUUCUCUUUAUUCUCUCGGUCUAGACUCUGCAUCAUGGACGCUCUUUCUGAAGCAAAUGGCACAUUUGCACUCCGCCUUUUAAAGAUACUGUGUCAAGACAACCCUUCACACAAUGUGUUUUAUUCUCCUGUGAGCAUUUCCUCUGCCCUGGCCAUGGUCUUCCUGGGGGCAAAAGGAAACACCGCUGCCCAGAUGGCCCAGGUGCUUUCUUUAAACACAGAUAAAGACAUUCAUCAGGGAUUCCAGUCCCUUCUCGCUGAAGUAAACAAGCCCGGCGUUCAUUACUUGCUCCGAACAGCCAACAGGCUCUUUGGAGAAAAGACUUGUGAAUUCCUCUCAACCUUCAAGGAAUCCUGUCUUCAAUUCUACCGUGCUGAGCUGGAGCAGCUGUCCUUUGCCCAAGCUGCAGAGCAGUCCAGGAAACGUAUAAACACUUGGGUCUCAAAAAAGACUGAAGGUAAAAUUCGAGAGUUGUUGCCAGGUAACUCAGUUGAUGCGCAGACCAGGCUGGUUCUUGUCAACGCCAUCUACUUCAAAGGAAGGUGGAAUGAACAGUUCAACAAAACGUACACGAGGGAAAUGCCUUUUAAAAUAAACCAGAAGGAGCAAAGACCUGUGCAGAUGAUGUUUCAGGAAGCCACGUUUCAACUUGCCUACAUCGAGGAGGUGCAGGCCCAGGUCCUGGAGCUGCCCUACAUGGACGAGGAGCUGAGCAUGGUCAUUCUGCUCCCUGACGACAGUGUGGAUCUAAACUCGGUGGAAAAAAAUCUCACUUUUGAGAAAUUCAUAGCCUGGACCAAGCCAGACUGUAUGAAGAGCACUGAAGUUGAAGUUUUCCUUCCAAGAUUUAAACUUGAAGAGGAGUAUGACAUGGAAUCUGUGCUUCAACAUUUGGGGAUACUUGAUGCCUUUCAACAGGGCAAGGCUGACUUUUCAGCAAUGUCAGCCGAGAGAGACCUGUGUCUGUCCAAGUUUGUGCACAAGAGUUUUGUGGAGGUGAAUGAGGAAGGCACAGAGGCCACGGCUGCUUCAGCCAUGGUGGUUGUGGAAUGUUGCAUGGAAUUUGGACCACGGUUCUGUGCUGACCAUCCCUUCCUUUUCUUCAUUAGGCACAACAAAGCCAACAGCAUUCUGUUCUGUGGCAGGUUUUCCUCUCCGUAAGGGAGUUCACUUACUAUGCAUGUGAGUAGUUCCCUCUUUUUGUGUCCCUAAAUCUCACUGUACAUCUCCAUGAGGAUGGGCCCAGUGCAAAGGUGAGGGCAGAUUCUUCAACCGUUUCCAUGAUUUGCCAGCACAAUUCCAUGCUUCUCUACACUCAGCUCUUGCCAUACUGAUCACUCAUUUGCGCUCUUUAGUCAGGAUCAUGGGAUAAUAGACUUAAUGAUUUCCUGUUGUAUUUAAGAUGCAGUCCAAAUCCCAUAGGAUGACAACCACGUUGCACUAGGUAAUAUCCUUAAGCUUACCACGUGAUUCUUUUGUAGGGAUCACACCUUUCUUCAUGUUGUUGUGUUUCUCCACUUCUAACUCUAACAGUAGAAAUUCCAUUUAACCCUUAAAGCUCA